UACAGAGGUCCCAAGCGUUGUUCGGAUUUACUGGGCGUAAAGGGUGCGUAGGCGGUUGUUUAAGUCUGACGUGAAAUCUCCGGGCCUAACCCGGAAACUGCGUUGGAUACUAUUCAACUAGAGGAAUGGAGGGGAGACUGGAAUACUUGGUGUAGCAGUGAAAUGCGUAGAUAUCAAGUGGAACACCAGUGGCGAAGGCGGCUUCCUGGACUGACACUGACGCUGAGGCGCGAAAGCUAGGGGAGCAAACGGG
rnacentral:rRNA from 1 species